rnacentral:rRNA from 1 species
UCGUAACAAGGUCUCCGUUGGUGAACCAGCGGAGGGAUCAUUAUCGAGUUAUUCAACUCCCAAACCCUAUGUGAACUUACCACUUGUUGCUUCGGCGCGCGCUUCGGCGCCGCCGAGGACACUUAAACUCUUUGUUUUUAUAAGCAUUUCUGAGUGGCCGAAAGGCAAAAAUACAAAUGAAUCAAAACUUUCAACAACGGAUCUCUUGGUUCUGGCAUCGAUGAAGAACGCAGCGAAAUGCGAUAAGUAAUGUGAAUUGCAGAAUUCAGUGAAUCAUCGAAUCUUUGAACGCACAUUGCGCCCGCCAGCAUUCUGGCGGGCAUGCCUGUUCGAGCGUCAUUUCAACCCUCGAGCCCGACUCUUUUGAGGACGGCUCGGCGUUGGGGGACGGCAGACUCCCCCCGGCAUCUCGCCGGGGACGCCGCCCCCGAAAUCUAGUGGCGGCCCUCCGAGGCGACCUCUGCGUAGUAACUUGUUCUCGCACCGGAAAGCUCAGAGCGGCCACGCCGUAAAACCCCAACUUUUUUCAGGUUGACCUCGAAUCAGGUAGGACUACCCGCUGAACUUAAGCAUAUCAAUAUCG